rnacentral:lncRNA from 1 species
CCUGUCAACUGUCAGUAUUUGCAGAGUAUUUCCCCCAUCGAGCUCGAGGCUCCCAAAUGGAAAUUUUGUAAGAGCAAUUUUGUCGACUAUUUUAAAGAAAACAAUUAAUUCAACAAUGGCUAUGAGCUUGUUAAUGCACGAAGAAGCCAAAAACCACAUUAGAAUAUAUUUGAAGGGAAUCCAUGACAAAUCGCCCCACUUUUUCACUAACUCGCCCCACUUUAAAAACAAGAGUGCACACACUGAAAUGUCUCGCCUUCUUUACUUAUCAUUGAUAUUAUGUUGAUAGUCCUAAUAAUAAAGCGUUAUUACAACUGUCACAUAAUCUUAACAUAAACCAAGAAAACUAAACAUUGACCUUUGAACCAUGAAAAUGAGGUCAAGGUCAGAUAAACCAUGCCAGGUAGGCA